rnacentral:tRNA from 1 species
CGAGAGGUCCAGAAGACCUGCUAACUCUUCAACCUGGCAAA